GACGAACGCUGGCGGCGUGCUUAACACAUGCAAGUCGAGCGAUGAAACUUCCUUCGGGAAGUGGAUUAGCGGCGGACGGGUGAGUAACACGUGGGUAACCUGCCUCAAAGUGGGGGAUAGCCUUCCGAAAGGAAGAUUAAUACCGCAUAAUAUGAGAAAAUCGCAUGAUUUUCUUAUCAAAGAUUUAUUGCUUUGAGAUGGACCCGCGGCGCAUUAGCUAGUUGGUAAGGUAACGGCUUACCAAGGCAACGAUGCGUAGCCGACCUGAGAGGGUGAUCGGCCACAUUGGAACUGAGACACGGUCCAGACUCCUACGGGAGGCAGCAGUGGGGAAUAUUGCGCAAUGGGGGAAACCCUGACGCAGCAACGCCGCGUGGGUGAUGAAGGUUUUCGGAUUGUAAAGCCCUGUUUUCUUGGGACGAUAAUGACGGUACCAGAGGAGGAAGCCACGGCUAACUACGUGC
rnacentral:rRNA from 1 species